GACGAACGCUGGCGGCGUGCUUAACACAUGCAAGUCGAACGGUAAGGCUCCAGCUUGCUGGGGUACACGAGUGGCGAACGGGUGAGUAACACGUGGGUGACCUGCCCUGCACUUCGGGAUAAGCCUGGGAAACUGGGUCUAAUACCGGAUAGGACCGCACCGUGAGGGUGUGGUGGAAAGUUUUUUCGGUGUGGGAUGGGCCCGCGGCCUAUCAGCUUGUUGGUGGGGUAAUGGCCUACCAAGGCGGCGACGGGUAGCCGGCCUGAGAGGGUGGACGGCCACAUUGGGACUGAGACACGGCCCAGACUCCUACGGGAGGCAGCAGUGGGGAAUAUUGCACAAUGGGCGGAAGCCUGAUGCAGCGACGCCGCGUGGGGGAUGACGGCCUUCGGGUUGUAAACUCCUUUCACCAUCGACGAAGGGUUUCUGACGGUAGAUGGAGAAGAAGCACCGGCUAACUACGUGCCAGCAGCCGCGGUAAUACGUAGGGUGCGAGCGUUGUCCGGAAUUACUGGGCGUAAAGAGCUCGUAGGUGGUUUGUCGCGUCGUCUGUGAAAUUCCGGGGCUUAACUCCGGGCGUGCAGGCGAUACGGGCAUAACUUGAGUACUGUAGGGGAGACUGGAAUUCCUGGUGUAGCGGUGAAAUGCGCAGAUAUCACGAGGAACACCGGUGGCGAAGGCGGGUCUCUGGGCAGUAACUGACGCUGAGGAGCGAAAGCAUGGGGAGCGAACAGG
rnacentral:rRNA from 1 species